rnacentral:rRNA from 1 species
UACGUAGGUGGCAAGCGUUGUCCGGAAUUAUUGGGCGUAAAGCGCGCGCAGGUGGUUUCUUAAGUCUGAUGUGAAAGCCCACGGCUUAACCGUGGAGGGUCAUUGGAAACUGGGGAACUUGAGUGCAGAAGAGGAAAGUGGAAUUCCAAGCGUAGCGGUGAAAUGCGUAGAGAUUUGGAGGAACACCAGUUGCGAAGGCGACUUUCUGGUCUGUAACUGACACUGAGGCGCGAAAGCGUGGGGAGCAAACAGG